UACAGAGGUCUCAAGCGUUGUUCGGAUUCAUUGGGCGUAAAGGGUGCGUAGGCGGCAGCGCAAGUCAGGUGUGAAAUCCUGGAGCUCAACUCCAGAACUGCCUUCGAUACUGAGAGUCUCGAGUCCGGGAGAGGUGAGUGGAACUGCGAGUGUAGAGGUGAAAUUCGUAGAUAUUCGCAAGAACACCAGUGGCGAAGGCGGCUCACUGGCCCGGUACUGACGCUGAGGUGCGAAAGCGUGGGGAGCAAACAGG
rnacentral:rRNA from 1 species